AGCCGAGCGGAGCAUCCGGUACCACCGCUCCUUCCGGCCAGUACGAGGCAUGCUACCGGGAGACGACGACAUGUACAACAUGCUCGUCGGGAAUGCACCAGUGCAGCACUACACUGUGGGCAUGACACCCGUAACACAACUAUCAAGUACCAAGAGCAUCAACAGCAGU